UGGUCGUAGCCGAAGGAGCCCGCGGCGCGGGAGAUCGCCCCGCCCAGGCCCUCACCGGUGGACAGCCACUCGGCGAUCAUCGCGCCGGUGACCGCC
rnacentral:tRNA from 1 species